AGCAGCCGCGGUAAUCCCAGCUCCAAUAGCGUAUAUUAAAGUUGUUGCAGUUAAAAAGCUCGUAGUUGAAUUUCGGGGUCAGUAGGUUGGUCGUGCCACCGGUACGUACUGGUCUCACUGAUUCCUCCUUCCUGAAGAACCGUAAUGCCAUUAAUUUGGUGUUGCGGGGAAACAGGACUGUUACUUUGAAAAAAUUAGAGUGUUUAAAGCAGGCUAACGCUUGAAUACAUUAGCAUGGAAUAAUGAAAUAGGACGAUCGAUCCUAUUUUGUUGGUUUCUAGGAUUGACGUAAUGAUUAAUAGGGAUAGUUGGGGGCAUUAGUAUUCAAUUGUCAGAGGUGAAAUUCUUGGAUUUAUUGAAGACUAACUACUGCGAAAGCAUUUGCCAAGGAUGUUUUCAUUAAUCAAGAACGAAAGUUAGGGGAUCGAAGACGAUCAGAUACCGUCGUAGUCUUAACCAUAAACUGUGCCGACUAGGGAUCGGAUGAUGUUAAAUUUUAUAAUGACUCAUUCGGCGCCUU
rnacentral:rRNA from 1 species